GAUGAACGCUGGCGGCGUGCCUAAUACAUGCAAGUCGAGCGAACGGACGAGAAGCUUGCUUUUCUGAUGUUAGCGGCGGACGGGUGAGUAACACGUGGAUAACCUACCUAUAAGACUGGGAUAACUUCGGGAAACCGGAGCUAAUACAGGAUAAUAUUUUGAACCGCAUGGUUCAAAAGUGAAAGACGGUCUUGCUGUCACUUAUAGAUGGAUCCGCGCUGCAUUAGCUAGUUGGUAAGGUAACGGCUUACCAAGGCAACGAUGCAUAGCCGACCUGAGAGGGUGAUCGACCACACUGGAACUGAGACACGGUCCAGACUCCUACGGGAGGCAGCAGUAGGGAAUCUUCCGCAAUGGGCGAAAGCCGGACGGAGCAACGCCGCGUGAGUGAUGAAGGUCUUCGGAUCGUAAAACUCUGUUAUUAGGGAAGAACAUAUGUGUAAGUAACUGUGCACAUCUUGACGGUACCUAAUCAGAAAGCCACGGCUAACUACGUG
rnacentral:rRNA from 1 species